AAUAGCUACUUGCAUCAUUGUAAAUAUGAUGCAAGAUCGACUAUGUCGAAUAAAAUUCUAGGUAGAAUUAUGAUAAUGACAUUGUCUGCCUAUGUGUCUUGACCAAAUUACGUGCCAGCAGUCGCGGUAAUACGUAGAAGACUAGUGUUAUUCAUGUUUAAUCGGUUUAAAGGGUACCUAGACGGUAAAUCAAGCCUAAAAGGAAAUAAAUGAAGGGACUAAUUUACUAGAGUUACUUAUGAGGGGGUAUUAAAGUACUGCUGGUGUAGAGAUGAAAUUCUGUCAUACCUCUUUUCAAUAGAAAAAUAAUGGCACAGGUAUAGGCGAAAGCAUCCCCUUAUGUGAUAACUGACGUUGAGGGACGAAGGCUUUGUGUAGCGAACAGGAUUAGAUACCCCAGUAGUCAAAGCAGAAAAUGAUGAAUGUCAUAGAUUAGAUAUAUAAGUUUAUUCUAUAAAUGAAAGUGUAAGCAUUCCACCUCAAGAGUAAUUUGGCAACAUUGGAACUGAAAUCAUUAGACCGUUUCUGAAACCAGUAGUGAAGUAUGUUGUUUAAUUUGAUGAUCCGCAAAAAACCUUACCACAAUUUGAAUAUUUAUAUCUUUUAUUGUUUUUCUUUUUAACUUUCUUCUGAUUUUCUAC
rnacentral:rRNA from 1 species